rnacentral:rRNA from 1 species
GACGAACGCUGGCGGCGUGCUUAACACAUGCAAGUCGAACGAUGAAGCUAGAGCUUGCUCUGGUGGAUUAGUGGCGAACGGGUGAGUAACACGUGAGUAACCUGCCCCGAACUCUGGGAUAACUGCUGGAAACGGUAGCUAAUACCGGAUAUGACCAAUGAAGGCAUCUUCUGUUGGUGGAAAGAAUUUCGGUUCGGGAUGGACUCGCGGCCUAUCAGCUUGUUGGUGAGGUAACGGCUCACAAAGGCGACGACGGGUAGCCGGCCUGAGAGGGUGAUCGGCCACACUGGGACUGAGACACGGCCCAGACUCCUACGGGAGGCAGCAGUGGGGAAGAUUGCACAAUGGGCGCAAGCCUGAUGCGGCAACGCCGCGUGAGGGACGACGGCCUUCGGGUGGUAAACCUCUUUUAGUAGGGAAGAAGCGAAAGUGACGGUACCUGCAGAAAAAGCACCGGCUAACUACGUGCCAGCAGCCGCAGUAA